rnacentral:misc_RNA from 1 species
GUGAAUCAUCAAAUUUUUGAACGCAAAUUGCACUCUCUUCGGAGAGUAUGCCUGUUUGAGGGUCAGCCUAAAAAAAAUCGACAUAGUCGCUGUUUCGCGGUGACAUUCGUCGGAAAUUGGGUCAUCUUAAACCUUUUAGUUUAAGCGACUUAAAAUUUUCUUUUGAUUCCAUGAACGUUUCUAAGAUUUAUUUCUUAACACGUUUAGGGUAUCAAUUUAUUAAACUUU